UACCACCUACCUCCAUAAUUAUCUACACAAUAUACAUGUUUCUAGAUGGUCUAGAAUGUUCCAGAUGUUUCCAGAUGAUUCUAGAAUGUUCUAGAAUCCCCCCUUGCUUUGUAGCGAACUCUGGGGCUUCUUGGGCCAUUGAACCUUCGUGCGAGAGGGGAAAUAUACGGGCUGUGACAGCGAGCACGGAGCCUGCCUACCCAAACGAUCGUGAUACGACUCAUGCACCACCACGUACAAUGAGCAACAAUUCCAAUCAGCGAACUACAACCCCCAACAAGCAUGUUAUGCCCGUCAAGCAUUGCCGAAACACCGAAUGAAACAGCUGCCCCCACCGCUGGGUGCGAAGAGUUUAAGGAUUACCGAAAGAAACGUGCAUCGUCGACCGAAUCCAAGCCCCAACCAAGAAGGGUUUUAUAAGCUUCCGUCCCAUAUAGCUCCAGCAACACAACUUAAUGACAUGCCUUUGCAAUGGAACAUCCACAUCAU
rnacentral:lncRNA from 1 species